GGCGAACGGGUGCGUAAUGCAUGGGAAUCUGCCUAGUAGUGGGGAAUAACCCGGCGAAAGCCGGGCUAAUGCCGCAUACGACCUACGGGUGAAAGCGGGGGAUCGCAAGACCUCGCGCUAUUAGAUGAGCCCAUGUCGGAUUAGCUAGUUGGUAGGGUAACGGCCUACCAAGGCGACGAUCCGUAGCUGGUCUGAGAGGACGGCCAGCCACACUGGGACUGAGACACGGCCCAGACUCCUACGGGAGGCAGCAGUGGGGAAUUUUGGACAAUGGGGGCAACCCUGAUCCAGCGACGCCGCGUGUGUGAAGAAGGCCUGCGGGUUGUAAAGCACUUUCGUUGGGAACGAAAUAUGCCGACCUAAUACGUCGGUAGGCUGACGUUACCCAAAUAAGAAGCACCGGCUAACUCUGUGCCAGCAGCCGCGGUAAUACAGAGGGUGCGAGCGUUAAUCGGAAUUACUGGGCGUAAAGCGCACGUAGGCGGCUAUGUAAGUCAGAUGUGAAAUCCCCGGGCUCAACCUGGGAACUGCAUUUGAGACUGCAUAGC
rnacentral:rRNA from 1 species